CAGUCGAUGGAUCCCGCUCAACUGACUGCAUCGACUGCAGCUGAGUCUGUAGAGGGGUAGAUCAGUGUAGCGUGAAAUGCGUAGGAUCUGAGAUACGUGCGAGCGGCCCCUGACAAAGACUGACGCUCAGUGCGAAAGCGUGUGAGCAACACGAGUAUGAUAUCCUGGGUAGUACACGCUGUAACGAUGUCGACUGGAGGUUGUUCCCUUGAGGAGUGGCUUCCGGAGCUAACGCGUUAAGUCGACGGCUGGGGAGUACGGCCGCAAGGUUAAAACUCAAAUGAAUUGACGGGGGCCCGCACAAGCGGUUGAGCAUGUGGUUUAAUUCGAUGCAACGCGAAGAACCUUACCUACUCUUGACAUCCACGGAACUUAGCAGAGAUGCUUUGGUGCCUUCGGGAACCGUGAGACAGGUGCUGCAUGGCUGUCGUCAGCUCGUGUUGUGAAAUGUUGGGUUAAGUCCCGCAACGAGCGCAACCCUUAUCCUUUGUUGCCAGCGGUCCGGCCGGGAACUCAAAGGAGACUGCCAGUGAUAAACUGGAGGAAGGUGGGGAUGACGUCAAGUCAUCAUGGCCCUUACGAGUAGGGCUACACACGUGCUACAAUGGCAUAUACAAAGAGAAGCGACCUCGCGAGAGCAAGCGGACCUCAUAAAGUAUGUCGUAGUCCGGAUUGGAGUCUGCAACUCGACUCCAUGAAGUCGGAAUCGCUAGUAAUCGUGGAUCAGAAUGCCACGGUGAAUACGUUCCCGGGCCUUGUACACACCGCCCGUCACACCAUGGGAGUGGGUUGCAAAAGAAGUAGGUAGCUUAACCUUCGGGAGGGCGCUUACCACUUUGUGAUUCAUGACUGGGGUGAAGUCGUAACAAGGUAGCCGUCUAAGGCG
rnacentral:rRNA from 1 species